AACAUCAGCGGGGGACAAAAAAACAGCUGCUGGAAAUAAGAUACAAACAAUGCACUUAUAAAGUUUACGAACGUUUAAGGAAUAGUUCAGCGGGAAAAUAAAACUGUAAAAAUGAUAAAUGGCUUUUAAACAGCCAAAGCUAACGUUAGAUGUUUUAUGUUUUUCGCUAUAAUUUACUCUCCCAUGCCAUUACAACCCAUCAUCAUCAUUAUUAUUAUUAUGUAUGCAGUCGUUUUGUAUGUAGAACAUCAUACAGCUGACGUUUGUACGUAAAUCGCUUCAAAAUCAAUCAAGAGACCCUCGAGAGCCAAUGGCGUUUGACAUCAAUGACGUCCAAUUAGAGCGGCGCGCCAUUUUUAAUCUUGACGCAAUGAUAUUUGAGAGCAACAUCUGACUGAGGGGAAGAUUAUCAACCAAUAAAGACAAAAGUUUUCUGUUCCUUAGACAAAAACUAUCAUAUAACAUCAGAAUACUUAAAAUCUUGAAGUAUGGAGUACUUAUUUGAAGUGUUUGUAACGGCAUCCACCGUCACUGUAUGGACAAGAUGUCAAAAGACUUUAACGUUACCUUACUGAAGUUCACUGAAGAAAGAAUAACGACAUGAGGGUUUACCAGCCGCAGGCCAGUGCCCUCACAUCCACACUGACGUCCCUCGAGCUGUCAGAUCUGGGCUGGCUGGCUUUGAAACGGGUCUGGAAGCAUGCAGAUUGGAUUACGUCCUGCUUUCCUGCUAUCCUACACCAUUUCUGGGUUGUGUUUGUGCUGUAAGCUUUACCGCAGAGCAGAGAGAGAGAAAGUGGGGGGGGAUCUAAGCAUUAGCAUUCCAAAAGUCACAUGUGACACGGCUUCAGCCAAUCACAGGACGGUAUGCUUUCAUGACCUUCCCCCUUCUUCCUAAAUCCCUCCCCUGCUUCUUGUUCUGUCAGUCUACCAGCACCAUGGCAACACAAAGGGCUUUAAUGCCUCUUUUGGAUUUCAUGGCGGCUUGCUUGAAAUGCAUGCUGAAAAGUUUACUGACGCCAGCGAGAAGCAUAUGAAUGAUGCCUUCAAUAAUGAUCUGUUUACACAUGAAUUGUUUGAGCUGUGAAAGCAUAGCCGUUUCUCAAAUAUAUAAUGUAGCUUUUGACUUCUAUAUGAAAAUAAAGGUUACACUUUAUAAUGAUUUAGUUUGGUUACAUUUUAAGCAUUUAUUAAUCUUGGUUAAUGUUAAUUUUGUAUAUACUAAUACAUAAACAUUUGGAGUAAUGUUAAUUAACCUAAGCUAGUGUAUUAUGAAUGAACAUAAUACAUAAUAACAAGAAUUAUUUAUUUAGAAGAUUAAUAAAUACUGUAAAAAUAGCUGUUCUUUGUAUGCAAUGCAUUACCUAUUAUUAAAGAAUUGGACCUUGUUUUAAAGGGUUGCCAAAUAAUGAAAUAAUGAAGCAGAAAAUCUUUUUAAUUUAUCCCAUGUUUGAUACUGUAUCAUCUUAAGUAAUUUUCUUCAAUCUCUAUCUCAGGUUUUUUAGAUAAAGACAAUGCUAACAUCCUAUGGUCCGCUGGGUUCUGUGUAGGCAAUGGGGUUGCAAUAUAUGCAAAUAUAUUCAAAUAAUGGGGCACCAAGAUCACAGUAAAACACAGUCCUCAGGGCCCUGGGGUUAAGCUGAUUGGUUGCAAGGCUAAUUCCGAGUGUGUUGAUUGGUCCAGAGGGUGAUUGGCCUUCAUGUCAGUGGUCAUGUGUUUGUUCCUCAUCAUGGGGGGAGGUGGAAGCCACUGGAAAAUAUCUAGCGUGUCUAUUUAUUUGUAAAUGCAAGGCUGCAGUAUACCAAAAAAUAUACAGUACAUUUAUGUACCCUGAAAUGUUUGUUAC